rnacentral:lncRNA from 1 species
GGCUAAUUUUUGUAUUUUUAGUAGAGACAGGGUUUGCAACAGAGCAAGAUCUUGUCUCACAAAAUAAAUUAAAAAGAUUUUUAAAUAGCAGGUUUCUAAAACAAUGAGAAAGACAGCAUUACAUAUCAGUGUCUACAAUUUAACCAAAGCUAUACUUAGAAGUAAAUUCAUUGUCUUAACUGCUUUUGUUCCAAUAAAACAAAAUAGCAGGAUCCUGAGGCUUUGAUGCUAUUUUCUUAAUCCAG